AUUGAACGCUGGCGGCAUGCCUUACACAUGCAAGUCGAACGGCAGCACGGGUGCUUGCACCUGGUGGCGAGUGGCGAACGGGUGAGUAAUACAUCGGAACGUACCUUAUCGUGGGGGAUAACGCAGCGAAAGCUGUGCUAAUACCGCAUACGCCCUGAGGGGGAAAGCGGGGGAUCGCAAGACCUCGCGCGAUUAGAGCGGCCGAUGCCUGAUUAGCUUGUUGGUGGGGUAAAAGCCCACCAAGGCGACGAUCAGUAGCUGGUCUGAGAGGACGAUCAGGCACACGGGGACUGAGACACGGCCCAGACUCCUACGGGAGGCAGCAGUGGGGAAUUUUGGACAAUGGGGGCAACCCUGAACCAGCAAUGCCGCGUGAGUGAAGAAGGCCUUCGGGUUGUAAAGCUCUUUUGUCAGGGAAGAAACACCGGCUCUAACACAGUCCGGGAAUGACGGUACCUGAAGAAUAAGCCCCGGCUAACUUCGUGCCAGCCGCCGCAGUAA
rnacentral:rRNA from 1 species